AGUGAACGCUGACGGUAGGCCUAACACAUGCAAGUCGAACGGCAGCACAGUAAGAGCUUGCUCUUACGGGUGGCGAGUGGCGGACGGGUGAGGAAUACAUCGGAAUCUACUUUUUCGUGGGGGAUAACGUAGGGAAACUUACGCUAAUACCGCAUACGACCUACGGGUGAAAGCAGGGGAUCUUCGGACCUUGCGCGAUUGAAUGAGCCGAUGUCGGAUUAGCUAGUUGGCGGGGUAAAGGCCCACCAAGGCGACGAUCCGUAGCUGGUCUGAGAGGAUGAUCAGCCACACUGGAACUGAGACACGGUCCAGACUCCUACGGGAGGCAGCAGUGGGGAAUAUUGGACAAUGGGCGCGAGCCUGAUCCAGCCAUACCGCGUGGGUGAAGAAGGCCUUCGGGUUGUAAAGCCCUUUUGUUGGGAAAGAAAAGCAGCAGGUUAAUACCCCGCUGUUCUGACGGUACCCAAAGAAUAAGCACCGGCUAACUUCGUG
rnacentral:rRNA from 1 species